rnacentral:rRNA from 1 species
ACUCCUACGGGAGGCAGCAGUGGGGAAUAUUGCACAAUGGGAACCGUAGCUGNCAGCCAUGCCGCGUGUGUGAAGAAGGCCUUCGGGUUGUAAAGCACUUUCAGUAGGGAGGAAGGUAUGUAGUUAACACCUGCAUUAUUGACGUUACCUACAGAAGAAGCACCGGCUAACUCCGUGCCAGCAGCCGCGGUAAUACGGAGGGUGCGAGCGUUAAUCGGAAUUACUGGGCGUAAAGCGACAUGCAGGCGGCCUGUUAAGUCAGAUGUGAAAG